ACAUGAGGGGUUGGCGAUGCUGCAAACAUCAUAGGGUUGGUUAUGUGAAGGCAAGGUUCUUAAAAGCUGAGGCCUAGAGGUUGAGAUUUGUCUAGAGGCUAAUGGAUAAACCAAGCUACACUACUUAACACUAGAAUAUUUUAACACAGAGGCAUGAUUUUUUUAUAUUAGUCGGGUCGUUGGGGAGUAUUCUAUCUGGUAAGUCUUAAUUUUCGGGUCGAAAAUUUUUGAUGUAGGGGAGAAUGUAAGGAUUGAGAAUUUUUUUUUUUUAAGACGCGUGGCUGCAACUAAUAGGCUGAAACAUCAUUCCUUUUAAAAAAUGCUGAAACUUCAAAAAUUGAAGUUUCAUUCUUUCCUUCAGCAGAUGCAAGCAACGUGUUCUCCCCUCUAUUUUUCCCUUCCCUCCUUGAUUCCUCUUACAUCCUUGUUCUGAAAUCCUUUCACUGAAUUCAAUUGCUCCUCUUACCAGAAAACGUUUAGGCAACUGUGAGAUCGGAACAACAGCCCAUCGAACCAGUUUAGUUUCCUCUCCUGGUAAAAUUCUAGCAAACUCAUCUCGGCGUUUCAAGCACUAUAAAUUCCAUUGAGUUUGAGCUGUAACACCAUCAAGAAGUUGAUGAUGAGGUGCCUUUGGAGCAAGUGUUGGAGACUGAAGGAGACCCAGCUCCUACUUCUUAGAUUUCCUAUAGUCUUAUUUAGAUAACUCUCAUUUUGAAAGACUUCUAGCUUUUACUUCUCAUGAUCUGUAUUUUGGAAUUACUCUUUAGGCACCCUUAGACCUUUAGUUGUCUUGUAUUUUGGAGAACUCUCAAUCUUGUAUUUAAGUUUUAAAUUUCAACCAUAUUUUGGAUGAUUGUAUGCCUAAUACUGUCCUCUAUUAACUCUUAAUUGCUUUCUCGUACUAUAAUAGCUGAAUCCUAUUAUAUGUACGUCUAUAUAAUAUUUGGGAUGUUACAUUAUGGGACAUUGCCAUUUAUUAUUAAGCACG